UACAUCUUUUCCCUUUCAUUGUUUCUUCAAUUGCCGGUUACCACUUCUGAGAGAUUCUAUUUGUUUCAGUGCAAAGACAGAGAGAGACUGUGAAAGGAAAAAAAGAGUGAUCGAUCUAGAUUUGUUUGACAAGAUCGAGGUGCAAAGAUAGAGAGAGAUUGUGAAAGGAAAAGAGGAGGAAUUGGUGUUGGUUUGGUUGGGAAGAGGUACGUGGAUGCCAAGAUUUGGAUCGACUUUGGGAAGGUCCUUUCAGCAAGAGAAGAGGUGUAUGUUUGAUUGCAGAGACGGAGAGAGACUGUUAAUAUCGUUGGAGAAGAAGCUUUGAACCUAGAAGAGAGGACAUCAGUUGAUAGCAGGUAAUUUAGAAAGAAGAAGAAGAGGGAUUUGGGUCUGGGUUUGUUUUGGAUUGCUUAUGUAUCUUCUUUUUUUUGUCUACUACUGGGUUUUUGUUUUGAAAUGCUCCGGGGAAUUGCAAGUUUAGUCACCGUGUUGGAAGGAAGAACAACCGGGUGAUUGUUUUGAGCAAGAAUCUUGGUUUCCUGUUGUGACUAAACGUUAAGAACUGCUUUGCUUAUUUUGGCCCUGCAGCACUCAGAUCAAACUGCCUAAUUAUGCAACUGACUCUGAAAUAAGCGGGAUUGAGGAAAUCAAAGGAAAAUGACGCAAAAUGGAGCAAUUUGGAGUUUUUAGCAAAAAGACGAAAUUGUGGAAAUCUUAAUUAAGCAAUUAAGUUAAUUGACUAAUUAUGCAAUUAAGCUUAAUUGGUUAAUUAAGCACAAAAUGUGCAGCUAUGUUGUUUAAUUGCUUAAUUGUUAAAUUGCUUGUCACUUCAUGGUAGGGCUGUAAAUAGGCUCGAUACA